GACGAACGCUGGCGGCGUGCCUAAUACAUGCAAGUCGACCUUAGUGGCGAACGGGGGGGUAACCAGUGGGUAACCUUCCCCUCAGAAGGGGACAACACUUGGAAAAAGGUGCUUAUACCGUUAACUGAUGGAUGGCCCCGCGGUGCAUUUGCUAGUUGGGGAGGUAACGGCUCACCAAGGCCACGAUGCAUAGCCGACCUGAGAGGGUGAGCGGCCACAUUGGGACUGAGACACGGCCCAAACUCCUACGGGAGGCAGUAGUAGGGAAUCUUCGGCAAUGGACGAAAGUCUGACCGAGCAACGCCGCGUGAGUGAAGAAGGUUUUCGGAUCGUAAAACUCUGUUGUUAGAGAAGCGGUAUCUAACCAGAAAGCCACGGCUAACUACGUGCCAGCAGCCGCGGUAAUUC
rnacentral:rRNA from 1 species